GAUGAACGCUGGCGGCGUGCCUAAUACAUGCAAGUCGAGCGAACAGACGAGGAGCUUGCUCCUCUGACGUUAGCGGCGGACGGGUGAGUAACACGCGGAUAACCUACCUAUAAGACUGGGAUAACUUCGGGAAACCGGAGCUAAUACCGGAUAAUAUAUUGAACCGCAUGGUUCAAUAGUGAAAGACGGUUUUGCUGUCACUUAUAGAUGGAUCCGCGCCGCAUUAGCUAGUUGGUAAGGUAACGGCUUACCAAGGCAACGAUGCGUAGCCGACCUGAGAGGGUGAUCGGCCACACUGGAACUGAGACACGUUCCAGACACCUACGGGAGGCAGCAGUAGGGAAUCUUCCGCAAUGGGCGAAAGCCUGACGGAGCAACGCCGCGUGAAUGAUGAAGGUCUUCGGAUCGUAAAACUCUGUUAUUAGGGAAGAACAAAUGUGUAAGUAACUAUGCACGUCUUGACGGUACCUAAUCAGAAAGCCACGGCUAACUACGUG
rnacentral:rRNA from 1 species